GAAAGUGUUGUUUUAUUGUCGUAGUGAUAUGGAAUUAUGUUUAUGGGGAUUUGAAGGAGUGUUAAUGGAAGGUUAGAGAUGAGUUUUUGGAAGAAGGUUGGUGAGGUUGUAGUUUUGAUGUAGCGUUGUUUGGUUGACGAUGAUGGUGUUUAUAUUUGUGGAGAAGGGAUGAUGAAGGUUUGUUGGAGGUUAAGGAUGGUAUCAAUGGUUUUGUAUUUUUUUCUGACAAAUAGAACACAUAGGGAGGGAAAG
rnacentral:lncRNA from 1 species